CUACGUACGUACUUCUAACAAAAUCGUAAGAUCGUGUAUGGGAUUUGACACUUGCCCAGUGUUAGAAGGUCAAGGAAGUUGGUGACUUGAUGAUACGAGACCCCGCAACCAAAACCCUAGUGAACGGCGGCUUCAGCUAUGAUGGUUCCUUAGGUAGCGAAAUUCCUCGUCAAACUAGUUUCGACCCGCGCAAAAGGCAUGA
rnacentral:ncRNA from 1 species